rnacentral:rRNA from 1 species
UACGUAGGGGGCAAGCGUUGUCCGGAUUUAUUGGGCGUAAAGAGCGUGUAGGCGGCUUUACAGGUCCGUUGUGAAAACUCGAGGCUCAACCUCGAGACGCCGGUGGAAACCGUAAGGCUAGAGUCCGGAAGAGGAGAGUGGAAUUCCGUGGUGUAGCGGUGAAAUGCGCAGAUAUCGGGAAGAACACCCGUGGCGAAGGCGGUUCUCUGGGACGGUACUGACGCUGAGACGCGAAAGCGUGGGGAGCGAACAGG